GACAGAGGCCCCGAGCGUUAGGCGGAAUCACUGGGCUUAAAGCGUGUGUAGGCGGAUCGUUAAGUGUCUUGUGAAAUCCCGAACGGCUCACCCGUGGAACUGCUGGGCAUACUGGCGAUCUUGGGCCGGUUCAGGGGCGACUGGAACAAGCGGUGGAGCGGUGAAAUGCGUAGAUAUCGCUUGGAACGCCGAAGGUGAAAAGCAGGUCGCUGGGGACGCGCCGACGCUGAGCAACACGAAAGCCAGGGAGCAAACGGG
rnacentral:rRNA from 1 species